rnacentral:misc_RNA from 1 species
GCCGUACUCAAAUUCAUAUGUGUGACGUUCUUAGUACUUUACAGACACAAAAUCUCUUUACCUUAAACUGAUAAAACUUGAAAAACUAUACUAAAGCAACAUUAGAUUAGAGGGUACUGAUAUACAUAAAAGUUUAAUUGCUUUUGGUAGGGAAGUUUAUGGAAUCCAGAAUUCUUUUAACAUGAUAGGCCAAAAUUAUGAGUGUGUAAAAGUUUUUCUAAGGUUUGACAAAUUGGUUUGAGAUCUACAUCGGGGUUAUUGCCUAUAUAUAGCUAUUUGUUAGUUUUCUUCCCUUGAUAAAAAAAUCCUGGGCAGAAGAAGUUCUUUCAUAUCCUUUCCUCACU